GAAUUAUAUGAACUUAUGAUUGGAACUAUUAGCAAGCAUCCACAACUACUAACAUUCAUCAAGUAAAACCUAACUAUAGCAUUAAGAUAUAUUGGUCCCCUUUCUAUCCCAUAUGAAUCGAUUUCUAUGUUAGGAAGAAGCUUCUGUCACUCUCGCCCUCCAAUGCAUAGUCCUAUCAACAUACAGCUACACCUAUGGUGUGGUCCAAGCGCGCUCUCAUAUGCUGGGCACCAAAGGACAACAAAAAAAUAAAACA
rnacentral:lncRNA from 1 species